AGAGUUUGAUCAUGGCUCAGGAUGAACGCUAGCGGCAGGCUUAAUACAUGCAAGUCGAGGGGCAGCAGGUUUGUAGCAAUACAGAUGCUGGCGACCGGCAAACGGGUGCGGAACACGUACACAACCUUCCUUUAAGUGGGGAAUAGCCCAGAGAAAUUUGGAUUAAUACCCCGUAACAUUAUGAUGUGGCAUCACAUUAUAAUUAUAGCUCCGGCGCUUAAUGAUGGGUGUGCGGCUGAUUAGGUAGUUGGCGGGGUAACGGCCCACCAAGCCUGCGAUCAGUAACUGGUGUGAGAGCACGACCAGUCACACGGGCACUGAGACACGGGCCCGACUCCUACGGGAGGCAGCAGUAAGGAAUAUUGGGCAAUGGAGGCAACUCUGACCCAGCCAUGCCGCGUGGAGGAUGAAGGUCCUCUGGAUUGUAAACUUCUUUUAUAUGGGACGAAAAAGGGCCUUUCCAGGUCAACUGACGGUACCAUAUGAAUAAGCACCGGCUAACUCCGUGCCAGCAGCCGCGGUAAUACGGAGGGUGCAAGCGUUAUCCGGAUUCACUGGGUUUAAAGGGUGCGUAGGUGGGUUGGUAAGUCAGUGGUGAAAUCUCCGAGCUUAACUUGGAAACUGCCAUUGAUACUAUCAGUCUUGAAUAUUGUGGAGGUCAGCGGAAUAUGUCAUGUAGCGGUGAAAUGCUUAGAUAUGACAUAGAACACCAAUUGCGAAGGCAGCUGGCUACACAUAUAUUGACACUGAGGCACGAAAGCGUGGGGAUCAAACAGGAUUAGAUACCCUGGUAGUCCACGCCCUAAACUAUGGAUACUCGACAUACGCGAUACACAGUGUGUGUCUGAGCGAAAGCAUUAAGUAUCCCACCUGGGAAGUACGAUCGCAAGAUUGAAACUCAAAGGAAUUGACGG
rnacentral:rRNA from 1 species